AACGAACGCUGGCGGCAUGCCUAACACAUGCAAGUCGAACGAGACCUUCGGGUCUAGUGGCGCACGGGUGCGUAACGCGUGGGAACCUGCCCUUAGGUUCGGAAUCACUCCCCGAAAGGGGUGCUAAUACCGGAUAAUGUCUUCGGACCAAAGAUUUCUCGCCUUUGGAUGGGCCCGCGUUGGAUUAGCUAGUUGGUAGGGUAAAAGCCUACCAAGGCGACGAUCCAUAGCUGGUCUGAGAGGAUGCUCCGCCACACUGGGACUGAGACCCGGCCCAGACUCCUACGGGAGGCAGCAGUGGGGAAUAUUGGACACUGGGCGAAGGCCUGAUCCAGCAAUGCCGCGUGAGUGAUGAAGGCCUUAGGGUUGUAAAGCUCUUUUACCCGGGAUGAUAAUGACAGUACCGGGAGAAUAAGCUCCGGCUAACUCCGUG
rnacentral:rRNA from 1 species